GAUGAAGAACGUAGCGAAAUGCGAUAAGUAAUGUGAAUUGCAGAAUUCAGUGAAUCAUCGAAUCUUUGAACGCACAUUGCGCCCGCCAGUAUUCUGGCGGGCAUGCCUGUCUGAGCGUCAUUUCAACCCUCAUGCCCCUAGGGCGUGGUGUUGGGGAUCGGCCAAAGCCCGCGAGGGACGGCCGGCCCCUAAAUCUAGUGGCGGACCCGUCGUGGCCUCCUCUGCGAAGUAGUGAUAUUCCGCAUCGGAGAGAGAUGAGCCCCUGCCGUUAAACCCCCAACUUUCCAAGGUUGACCUCAGAUCAGGUAGGAAUACCCGCUGAACUUAAGCAUAUCAAAGCGGAGGA
rnacentral:misc_RNA from 1 species